rnacentral:rRNA from 1 species
AUGAACGCUAGCUACAGGCUUAACACAUGCAAGUCGAGGGGCAGCAUUUUAGUUUGCUUGCAAACUGAAGAUGGCGACCGGCGCACGGGUGAGUAACACGUAUCCAACCUGCCGAUAACUCCGGAAUAGCCUUUCGAAAGAAAGAUUAAUACCGGAUAGCAUACGAAUAUCGCAUGAUAUUUUUAUUAAAGAAUUUCGGUUAUCGAUGGGGAUGCGUUCCAUUAGUUUGUUGGCGGGGUAACGGCCCACCAAGACUACGAUGGAUAGGGGUUCUGAGAGGAAGGUCCCCCACAUUGGAACUGAGACACGGUCCAAACUCCUACGGGAGGCAGCAGUGAGGAAUAUUGGUCAAUGGGCGAGAGCCUGAACCAGCCAAGUAGCGUGAAGGAUGAAGGCUCUAUGGGUCGUAAACUUCUUUUAUAUGGGAAUAAAGUUUUCCACGUGUGGAAUUUUGUAUGUACCAUAUGAAUAAGGAUCGGCUAACUCCGUGCCAGCAGCCGCGGUAAUACGGAGGAUCCGAGCGUUAUCCGGAUUUAUUGGGUUUAAAGGGAGCGUAGGUGGAUUGUUAAGUCAGUUGUGAAAGUUUGCGGCUCAACCGUAAAAUUGCAGUUGAAACUGGCAGUCUUGAGUACAGUAGAGGUGGGCGGAAUUCGUGGUGUAGCGGUGAAAUGCUUAGAUAUCACGAAGAACUCCGAUUGCGAAGGCAGCUCACUAGACUGUCACUGACACUGAUGCUCGAAAGUGUGGGUAUCAAACAGGAUUAGAUACCCUGGUAGUCCACACAGUAAACGAUGAAUACUCGCUGUUUGCGAUAUACAGUAAGCGGCCAAGCGAAAGCAUUAAGUAUUCCACCUGGGGAGUACGCCGGCAACGGUGAAACUCAAAGGAAUUGACGGGGGCCCGCACAAGCGGAGGAACAUGUGGUUUAAUUCGAUGAUACGCGAGGAACCUUACCCGGGCUUAAAUUGCACUCGAAUGAUCCGGAAACGGUUCAGCUAGCAAUAGCGAGUGUGAAGGUGCUGCAUGGUUGUCGUCAGCUCGUGCCGUGAGGUGUCGGCUUAAGUGCCAUAACGAGCGCAACCCUUAUCUUUAGUUACUAACAGGUUAUGCUGAGGACUCUAGAGAGACUGCCGUCGUAAGAUGUGAGGAAGGUGGGGAUGACGUCAAAUCAGCACGGCCCUUACGUCCGGGGCUACACACGUGUUACAAUGGGGGGUACAGAAGGCGGCUACCUGGUGACAGGAUGCUAAUCCCAAAAACCUCUCUCAGUUCGGAUCGAAGUCUGCAACCCGACUUCGUGAAGCUGGAUUCGCUAGUAAUCGCGCAUCAGCCAUGGCGCGGUGAAUACGUUCCCGGGCCUUGUACACACCGCCCGUCAAGCCAUGAAAGCCGGGGGUACCUGAAGUACGUAACCGCAAGGAGCGUCCUAGGGUAAAACUGGUAAUUGGGGCU